rnacentral:rRNA from 1 species
GAUGAACGCUGACAGAAUGCUUAACACAUGCAAGUCAACUUGAAUUUGGGUUUUUAACUUAGGUUUGGGUGGCGGACGGGUGAGUAACGCGCAAAGAACUUGCCUCACAGCUAGGGACAACAUUUGGAAACGAAUGCUAAUACCUAAUAUUAUGAUAAUAGGGCAUCCUAUAAUUAUGAAAGCUAUAAGCGCUGUGAGAGAGCUUUGCGUCCCAUUAGCUAGUUGGGGAGGUAACGGCUCACCAAGGCGAUGAUGGGUAGCCGGCCUGAGAGGGUGAUCGGCCAAAAGGGGACGGAGACACGGCCCUUACUCCUACGGGAGGAAGCAGUGGGGAAUAUUGGACAAUGGACCGAGAGUCUGAUCCAGCAAUUCUGUGUGAACGAUGAAGUUUUUCGGAAUGUAAAGUGUUUUCAGUUGGAAAGAAACAAAUGACGGUACCAACAGAAGAAGUGACGGCUAAAUACGU